UGAGCUAUGGUGUAAUGGUAGCACUACAGAUUUUGGUUCUGCCUGUGUAGGUUCGAGUCCUGCUAGCUCAA
rnacentral:tRNA from 1 species